AUUGAACGCUGGCGGCAGGCCUAACACAUGCAAGUCGAGCGGCAGCGGAAAGUAGCUUGCUACUUUGCCGGCGAGCGGCGGACGGGUGAGUAAUGUCUGGGAAACUGCCUGAUGGAGGGGGAUAACUACUGGAAACGGUAGCUAAUACCGCAUAACGUCGCAAGACCAAAGAGGGGGACCUUCGGGCCUCUUGCCAUCAGAUGUGCCCAGAUGGGGUUAGCUAGUAGGUGGGGUAACGGCUCACCUGGGCGACGAUCCCUAGCUGGUCUGAGAGGAGGCACAGCAACAGUGGAACGGAGACACGGCACAGACUCCUACGGGAGGCAGCAGGGGUGAAUAUUGCACAAUGGGCGCAAGCCGGAUGCAGCCAUGCCGCGUGUAUGAAGAAGGCGUGCGGGUUGUAAAGUACUUUCAGCGGGGAGGAAGGCGAUAAGGUUAAUAACCUUGUCGAUUGACGUUACCCGCAGAAGAAGCACUGGCUAACUCCGUGCCAGCCGCCGCGGUAA
rnacentral:rRNA from 1 species